GUUGGAAUUUGGAAAAUCCAUUGGUAAUACACGGAGAACCUCCUCCUUGGAGAAAGAAAGUCAAAUUUGUGGGGCCUCGUCUUGACUUUGAAGGUUCAUUAUAUGAUGAUUACGACCUGAUUGAGCCACCAAUCAACUUCAACUUGGAUGAUGAAGUUGCGCAAAGAACAGAACAAUUGAUGCGUGACAUGUAUGAUAAGACUGUUGCUUUAUUGAGGGAGCAUAAUGCCGCUUUACUAAAAACUGUUAAGGUAUGCUUGUUAAUUUUAAAUUUUAAUUAAAAAGAUCUUGUUGCCCCCUACUUACAAGUUUCAUCAUCCCUUAUCCUUUUCAAUUAAUGUUUUACACCUGUCUUUAUCUAUUUGACUAAUCAUUCGAUUUNGAAAUUUUUUGAUUCUAAUUAUUUAUAUAUAUAUAUAUAUAUAUAUAUAUAUAUAUUAAUUGUUGGUGGUUUACUAGAUUCCGUUUACCCAUAUAUAUGUCUUGAUAACUACAACAGGAAUUUUUUUCCCCAUAAGUGCAGUUUAUGUUUACAGUUGGCUAAUAAUUCUUGUCAUUUCAUUUUCUAAUAUAAAGAAUUCUUUGAUAGGAUGGACAGGAGCAAGGUUGGCUCAGUUACUCCAAGAGGCUGCUCUUGUGGCAGUGCGAAAAAAUCACAAUGCUAUUAUGCAGCCAGACCUUGAUGAAGCAGUUGACAGGCUUACAGUCGGACCAAAGCGUGUUGCAAUAGAGUUGGGUCAUCAGGGGCAAUGUCGUCGAGCCACAACUGAAGUAGGGACUGCAUUGACUUCUCAUCUGCUAAGGCAACUUGAAAAUGCUAAUGUGGAAUCCUGUGACCGUAUAUCAAUCAAUCCUCGUGGCCAGGUCUUCUUUUCCAUCUUUAUCACAUUCUCCAUUUUUUUUUCUCACACAAAUCUACUGAGAUUCUUUUCCGCCUUACUGACUUGGUAUGGACGUAUGGUAAGGUGUAACUCAUGACAUUAACAUUGCUCAAGAGUCGAGGCAGUUGUUAGAUUGUGGAAGUAGUAGGCCUGCAAUUAGGAUAAGUAUAUAGGAGUAUAUAGUAAUAAAGUAUAUUAACAUGUGCAUGAGAUGAUAUGCUUAAUGUUUAUUUAUUGUUUUAAUGAUGAACAAUUAUGGAUGCAGACGUUGUCUCAAGUUGUAUUUAAUAGACUUGAUGAUGAGUCGUAUAUUUUCGAGCGUCGGCCUCAACUACUUCACCGCCUUCAGGUGUGACUUAAUAUACCGACUUUUGAAUUUUCUGAUCUGGGUAGAUCCCUUCUUUAUUUGGAAUUUCUUAAAUUCUGUUGAGUUCAUUGAUAAUGAAGGUUUUACUUGGAGGGAGAGCUGCAGAAGAGAUAAUUUUUGGCCGGGAUACAUCAAAGGCAUCAGUUAACUACCUUGCUGAUGCAUCAUGGCUUGCUCGAAAGAUUAUAACAAUGUAGGUAUUCCUUGAUCUAACAGCUUAAUUUAGGCUUUUUAUUCUUUUUAGGAAUUUGUAUUAUUUUUUUGUUUUUCUUAAUUCAGUUGGAAUUUGGAAAAUCCAUUGGUAAUACACGGAGAACCUCCUCCUUGGAGAAAGAAAGUCAAAUUUGUGGGGCCUCGUCUUGACUUUGAAGGUUCAUUAUAUGAUGAUUACGACCUGAUUGAGCCACCAAUCAACUUCAACUUGGAUGAUGAAGUUGCGCAAAGAACAGAACAAUUGAUGCGUGACAUGUAUGAUAAGACUGUUGCUUUAUUGAGGGAGCAUAAUGCCGCUUUACUAAAAACUGUUAAGGUAUGCUUGUUAAUUUUAAAUUUUAAUUAAAAAGAUCUUGUUGCCCCCUACUUACAAGUUUCAUCAUCCCUUAUCCUUUUCAAUUAAUGUUUUACACCUGU
rnacentral:lncRNA from 1 species